GACGAACGCUGGCGGCGUGCCUAAUACAUGCAAGUAGAACGCACAGUUUAUACCGUAGCUUGCUACACCAUAGACUGUGAGUUGCGAACGGGUGAGUAACGCGUAGGUAACCUGCCUGGUAGCGGGGGAUAACUAUUGGAAACGAUAGCCAAUACCGCAUAAUAUUGAUUAUUGCAUGAUAAUUGAUUGAAAGAUGCUAUUGCAUCACUACCAGAUGGACCUGCGUUGUAUUAGCUAGUAGGUGGGGUAACGGCUCACCUAGGCGACGAUACAUAGCCGACCUGAGAGGGUGAUCGGCCACACUGGGACUGAGACACGGCCCAGACUCCUACGGGAGGCAGCAGUAGGGAAUCUUCGGCAAUGGACGAAAGUCUGACCGAGCAACGCCGCGUGAGUGAAGAAGGUUUUCGGAUCGUAAAGCUCUGUUGUAAGAGAAGAACGGGUGUGAGAGUGGAAAGUUCACACUGUGACGGUAUCUUACCAGAAAGGGACGGCUAACUACGUG
rnacentral:rRNA from 1 species